CUUUUAUCAAUUUCAACUGUAUUUCUUCCACAGAUAUGUGUAUUUUUAUUAAAAAUCAUAAAAACGUGAUGGAAGCCAUAACUUGGGACAAACUAUAUAUAUAUAGUAGGUGUCAAAUGUUAAUGGAUUUGACUUAUUUUUAUCUCCUUAUGUAUGCACCUUGGACACUUGACCGUCAAAUUUCUUGUACUAGGUGUUAGUCAUUAAGGAUUAAUUGGAAACAUUCUUUAGUACUUGGAUGGUAGGAAAUUGCACUAGUCCAUAGAUAAGGAUAUGGAACCAUUAAAUCCUGUUUUUGAGAAACCAUUGUACCGGUGGUUUCUUUUGAUGACUGUGAUAAAACAUUUGUGUAACUAACUAUCGAGUUAAAAACUUGAAGUCUGUUGUGUUUCUGUAUCAGUGGGAAAUGGAAUGUGUAGUUUGAAUGUUUCUGAAUUACUUGUCAACAAACAAUACAUAUUCCAGAUGAGCAAGGAUUUCUACAAUUUCAUUAUUGUAGUACUGUAUAAAUGUAUGUUAUAUUGAUCUUAUUAAUGGUGUGUAAAUGUAAAAUAUAAACUAAAAAAUGAAAUUCCAC
rnacentral:sRNA from 1 species